rnacentral:lncRNA from 1 species
ACACGGAUGUGGAGGGUUCCUCGAGAGCUCAACAAGGAUUGAAUGGCAGAAAAUUCGGAGGAAACCCAGUUGUUGCUGUCUUUUAUUCGGAGAACAAGUUCUCUGAGGGGGACUACGAGGGCUAGGUAUCCUGCUCUGGACUGCCUUGAGCGCACGCAGCCAGAUGAUGUGUUAAAUAGCUAUUUUUGUCCUCCCUUGGAAUUUUUAAGUUGUACUCUAGUUUCCUUUCUUCAACGGAAAUGUUUGUUUGCUCCGGACUGUCUUGAGCGCAGACAGCCAAAACGAUGUAAUAAAUAGCUAUCGUCCUCCCCUGGAAUUCUUUAGUUGUACUCUAGUUUCCUUUAACGGAAAUGUUUGUUUGGUUUGAAGAUUCCAUGUGACCAACUAUAAGCCCAGCUGCUGCUUUUAUUCCCCCAGCUAUUGUAGAGCUAGUAGGAAACCGGUAUGCCUAGUCAAGAGGCGCGCGCUUGGCGUAUGCGUGGCGUGAUGUUUGUAGUCUCUGUAUUGUUACUUUAACAAAAAUUUAACCAUCCUAGUUUUCUUUGGACUAAUAAAUUAUUGGAUUCAAUUAUAUGUUAUCAUUAUAUUUUAAUAUGUUGUAGGAGGUGAUUUGGGAAAUACUU